GAACGCGAAGAACCUUACCCGGUUUUGACAUGUACGGAAUCCUCCGGAGACGGAGGAGUGCCUUCGGGAGCCGUAACACAGGUGCUGCAUGGCUGUCGUCAGCUCGUGUCGUGAGAUGUUGGGUUAAGUCCCGCAACGAGCGCAACCCUUGUCAUUAGUUGCCAUCAUUCAGUUGGGCACUCUAAUGAGACUGCCGGUGACAAGCCGGAGGAAGGUGGGGAUGACGUCAAGUCCUCAUGGCCCUUAUGACCGGGGCUUCACACGUCAUACAAUGGUCGGUACAGAGGGUAGCCAAGCCGCGAGGCGGAGCCAAUCUCACAAAACCGAUCGUAGUCCGGAUUGCACUCUGCAACUCGAGUGCAUGAAGUCGGAAUCGCUAGUAAUCGCAGGUCAGCAUACUGCGGUGAAUACGUUCCCGGGUCUUGUACACACC
rnacentral:rRNA from 1 species